rnacentral:rRNA from 1 species
AACGAACGCUGGCGGCAUGCCUAACACAUGCAAGUCGAACGAGACCUUCGGGUCUAGUGGCGCACGGGUGCGUAACGCGUGGGAACCUGCCCUUAGGUUCGGAAUAACUCCCCGAAAGGGGUGCUAAUACCGGAUAAUGUCUUCGGACCAAAGAUUUAUCGCCUUUGGAUGGGCCCGCGUUGGAUUAGCUAGUUGGUAGGGUAAAAGCCCACCAAGGCGACGAUCCAUAGCUGGUCUGAGAGGAUGAUCAGCCACACUGGGACUGAGACACGGCCCAGACUCCUACGGGAGGCAGCAGUGGGGAAUAUUGGACAAUGGGCGAAAGCCUGAUCCAGCAAUGCCGCGUGAGUGAUGAAGGCCUUAGGGUUGUAAAGCUCUUUUACCCGGGAUGAUAAUGACAUUACCGGGAGAAUAAGCUCCGGCUAACUCCGUG